rnacentral:rRNA from 1 species
AUUGAACGCUGGCGGCAGGCCUAACACAUGCAAGUCGAACGAGUGGCGGACGGGUGAGUAAUGUCUGGGAAACUGCCUGAUGGAGGGGGAUAACUACUGGAAACGGUAGCUAAUACCGCAUACCAUCGGAUGUGCCCAGAUGGGAUUAGGGAGUAGGUGGGGUAACGGCUCACAUAGGCGACGAGCCCUACCGGGUCUGAGCGGAUGACACGCCACACUGGAACUGAGCAACGGUCCAGAAUCCUACGGGAGGCAGCAGUGGGGAAUAUUGCACAAUGGGCGCAAGCCUGAUGCAGCCAUGCCGCGUGUGUGAAGAAGGCCUUCGGGUUGUAAAGCACUUUCAGCGGGGAGGCGUUACCCGCAGAAGAAGCACCGGCUAACUCCGUGCCAGCAGCCGCGGUAAUAC